GACGAACGCUGGCGGCGUGCCUAAUACAUGCAAGUCGACCUUAGUGGCGAACGGGUGAGUAACACGUGGGUAACCGGCCCAUCAGAAGGGGAUAACACUUGGCAACAGGUGCUAAUACCGUAUACUGAUGGAUGGACCCGCGGUGCAUUAGCUAGUUGGUGAGGUAAAGGCUCACCAAGGCCACGAUGCAUACCCGGACUGGGAGGGUGAUCGGCCACAGUGGGACUGAGACAAGGCCCAAACUCCUAAGGGAGGCAGCAGUGGGGAAGCUUGGGCAAUGGACGAAAGUCUGACCCAGCAACGCCGCGUGAGUGAAGAAGGUAUUCGGAUCGUAAAACGCUGUUGUUAGAGAAGCGGUAUCUAACGAAGAAGCAACGGCUAACUACGUGCCAGCAGCCGCGGUAAUAC
rnacentral:rRNA from 1 species